rnacentral:lncRNA from 1 species
GAUCACAAGUCCUUUUUCCUUUCCCAAUGAAUGGCAACAUGAGGGCUGCAUGAUAUAUUCUAUUCUAAUGUGUCCACAGAAUAUCUACAUACAUACAAUCUUUUAUUUUUAUAUAAAAAGGAACAUCUAUUGCCAGAGUCAACUCACCAAAACUUAGAAAAGAGAGCAGCCACAUGAAAGUGAUUCCCUUUACCCCAAGCUAUGUAAUCUCUUGAAUAUUUGCUUUUUUACACAGAUAUUAAUAUGUUUACCCUUAUGGUUUACUAUGUUUAAAUAAACAUGAUAGAAAUACUAUCAGUAGUCAUUUUAUAUUUCCAUACAUUUUUAGUAAACUUUCUCAGAUAACAUUAUGCAAAUAAUAUUCUAGAUUAACAGUGUUUCCACCGAUUUUAUUUUGCUCCUUUCAUUUAUCUGAUCAUACUAAUGUGCCAUAAAACCUUAUAUUUAAAGGCAAGAAAUAUUUAUGCUGGAAAAAAGAGAAUACAGCAAAAUACUUUUUCAUGAUACUCUGCUAUACUUAUAGACAGAAUAGUGUACUUGUCACAGGAGAGACUUCAUGUAGUAACUGAAAGAAACAGAUGCAGAGACCCAUGCCCAAACAUUAGGCCAAGAUUGGGGAAUCCGAGGAGGGUGAGAAAGAAAUGUGGGAGCCAAAGAGGCCAAAGAAAACCAACAGAAUCAAUUAAUCUGGGCUCAAAGGGCCUCACAGUGACUGAACUGACAAUCAGGGAGCCUGCAUGUGUCAGACCUAGACCCUCUGCAUAUAUGUUUCAGCUGUGUCCCCUGGUCUUCUGUGGGACCCUUAAGAGUGGAAACAAGGGCUAUCUCUGAUACUUUUUCCUACUUUGGGGACCCUUGUCCUCCUUCUGGGUUGCCUCAUCAAGUUUUAAUAUUUUAAUAUGGGGGAAGAGGGAUGUGCUAGUGUUAAUGCAAUUUGAUAUGCCAUGUUUGGUUGAUAUCCCUAGGAGGCCUGCCUGCACUUUUCUUAAGAGAACAGGAGAAGUAGGUGUAUGGGAGAAUAGACAGAGGGACUGGGAUGGAGGAAUGAGGGAAAAUGCAGUUAGAAUAUAAUAUUUGAGAAGAGAAUAAAUAAAAAAUAUUUUAAAAUUAUAGCUAAGAAUGUGUUCAUCACAAAAGUCGAGAAAUUUUUUGUUUGCUUGUUUCUAGAGGAUGGCAAGUAGAUAGAACAUUAAUGUUCAAACAGGAUGAUCUAAGUUAUGAGCCUCAGAGUUUAUUCAAAGUUGGAUGUGAUAGAGAUGUAGUAGGGUUGUUACAGUACAGAGCUGUAGUGAAUAGUUCCUCUUAGGCGAAGAGAGAGUGGGAAAAUUUGAUUUCAGACACAAUCAAUUAACAAAAGAAAACCUUUCUCAGGCAAGAUGGAGGAGCAGAAUUGGUCUCUUGCGAUUCUCUAUGAUUUCUCUGACCAUGCCACUUGGUAAACCCAAACUCACACACAAAAACCCAAAUAUGUAUACAUAUUCUAUAUAUACAUACAUACAUGCAUGCAUGCAUAUAUAUAUAAUAAAUGAGCAAGUGUGUGAAUAAAUAUGACUGUUUUCAACCCAAGUUACUAGUGAGAAGGUAAGAAGAGAGAGUCAGAACAGGGAGGGGAGGAAGGGAGUGAUGGAUUUCUUUAUCAAAGUAGUAUUGAAAGAAAUUUAAAUAACAGUGAGUAGAGCUAAUGCCAGGAUAUUAUAGUUCAAACCAUUUUAACCUCUUAUUAAACUUUAAAAAAAGAAUGAACUAUUUGAGAGUAAUGAAAAUAUUUUUUUAAUUUUAUUCAAAACUGCUGUGUUCAGUCUGAAAGACACUAUUAAGUUUGCUGUGAGUUUAAACAACUUGCCACUCAGUGAGAUCUCCCAGCAUUUGAACUAUAUAGUCAUCCAGGUAAAGCAUGAGAAAGGACUCAGCUGUGCCUACUCUUGAGACCUAUAAUUUUCACAUGUUCUCUGGGCCACAUAUGACAUGUUAAUGACCUGGACAUGGAUGUCACACCGAGGCCCUGUGGUGAGAAAUAGCAACAGGUUGCUUCUAAGCACUCCGGCGCAGCUGGACAACCUCUGUCAUAAUACAGCUCUAGACUCAGAGACCAUUUUUUUCAUCUAAAAGUACCAUCUCAGAAACACACUCUAGAAGGAAGCCUAUUAAGGACAAAUAAAACGAGGACUUAAUUACUAAAAAUUCAACUGAAAGAAGGGUUUAUUAAUGUAAGU